CGGCGAGAAAGUGGUGGCGCGUCCGUGGCCGGGGCUGCGGCGCAGAGCCGGGGAGCGACUCCGCGUCUUUACGAUGGACGCCGGCUGGGCAGCGUGCGUACCGGUAUUAAACGUUUGUGAAUUCCGGAGGUGAGAAAUCAGUGUUUUUUUUUGGAGACCGGCUCUGCUGUGAAGAAGUUUUAAUUCGCGAUGGCGGCCGUCCCGCAGACAGGAGCGCUCAGCAAAAACACAUCGCAGCCUUAUAUCCGCUGUGCGCCGACGCCGAGAAUUCCUCCCGUUUCCCCGCUGAGUGCUCCAGUUUUUUUAAAGGUCCAGCUGUCUUCGAUUCCCAUCGUGUUCGAGGAACCUUCUUGACUCUUAGAUGAUGC
ensembl:lncRNA